UCUGCCUAACUUGUUUCAUUGAUCCUAUCUGAGCUUGGCUAAUCUCUUCGAUUCCACCUGUUUUCACAACUCUUCCUCGACCGCACAAGUAAUUCAUGGCGCGGUCGACGUCUCCUCUCGUCAACAAGGCUUCACCCACCGAGCAGCGCCGCCUUCUCCGACCUCGCCGUUCUUCAAAGCGUGUCACCGCUUUGAGCCCGGAGGCGCUCCUUGAUGCCUCACUCCCCAGCGCCGAGCACCCUGUGCCGGUGUUGCAGCAGGAUGACGGCGACAUCGUCGCUGCCACCAUCCCUCUGAAGGGAGAUGCUACUCUUUCAGAUGGCAGUCCAUGCCGGGGAGAAGAUGGGGAAGAACGGCCUCAAGGACACUGACUCGAUCGCAACGCCGAUUGUGAGCGGCACGACGCACUGGUCCAAGAGCUCGGGCGACCUCAUCGCGUUCAAGGAAGGACGGCGCCACAGCUUCGAGUACGGCCGCUACGGCAACCCCACUAUGAAGGUCCUAGAGGACAAGAUCAGUGCCCUAGAGAGGGCUGAGUCGACGCUUGUCACGUCCUCGGGCAUGAACGCCAUCGUCGCCACGCUGCUUGCGCUCGUGCCACCCGGCGCCGGCCACGUGGUAACCACGACAGAGUGCUACAGCGAGGCGCGCGCCUUCAUCCGCGACAAGCUCUCCAAGAUGGGCAUCAAGGUGACAUUCGUCGAGCUGAAUGACAUGGAGACACUCAAGGCCGUUCUUGACCAGGGCGACGUGACACUCUUCUACACUGACUGUCCGACAAACCCCCACCUCAAGUGCAUCGACAUUAAGCUCGUAGCGGAGCUGUGUCACCGCAAAGGGGCUCUGGUGUGCAUCGACAGCACCCUCGCCUCGACCAUCAAUCAGAAGCCACUCACCAUCGGGGCCGAUAUCGUCGUGCACUCUGCCACAAAGUACAUUGCCGGCCAUCACGACGUCAUUGCAGGAUGCAUCAGCGGCUCGGAUGCGCUCAUCUCUAGGAUACGUGCGUGGCAUCACGACCUCGGCGGCGCCAUUAGUCCGGACGCGGCCUACAUGAUCAUACGCGGCCUCAAGACGAUGGCGCUUCGCGUGGAAACACAAAACCACACUGCAUUGCGCAUGGCGCGCUUGCUCGAGAACCAUCCCAAGAUUGAGCGGGUGUACUACCCUGGACUCAUCAGCAGCCCAUGGCACCACAUCGCCAAGAGCCAGAUGACCGGUUGCGGUGGCGUCAUCAGCUUUGAGGUGGCAUCAGACCUGCACGGCGUCAUGAGGUUCAUCGACGCAUUGGAGAUACCCUUCAUUGCAACCUCACUUGGUGGGUGUGAGAGCCUCGUGCAACAGCCGGCAGUCAUGUCCUUUUGGGGGGAGAGUGAUGAGGAGAAGGCCAAGAAUGGGAUCAAGGACAACUUGGUGAGGUUUAGCUUCGGGAUUGAGAAGUUUGAGGAUCUCAGGGAUGACAUUCUCCAAGCCCCGGAGAAAAUUUACGAUUAUUCUUGAUCACUAAUUAAUAGUGUAACAAUUUUGACAAGCUAGCUAUGUAGAAACCCUUUUUGUGCAUAUGGUAGGUAGUCAAAUUGUGCUGAAAUCCUAAGAAAAGGUAAUUAGUGUGCAUUCUUUUAUUUCUUGAAGGAAGAACAUCAAAUUUGAUGAUAAGAAAUAUUUGCUUCGCGUCAUAUGUGAUUGAAAGAAAUUCAAAUAUACAAAACUUUACUUUCUGUUUCACUAUUACAACCAUGUCAAUCACUUUUAUUCGGGUAAAA